rnacentral:rRNA from 1 species
GAUGACCAGGAGACGUAUAAACAAUUGUUUGGAUGUGAGUUGGGCACGUUACCGUUCACGUAUUUAGGUAUACCCAUCCAUCAUCGUAAGCUGACUAGCAAAGAGUGGAAAUGCAUCGAGGAUCGUUUCGAGAAGAAACUGAGCUGUUGGAAAGGGAAGCUCAUGUCAUAUGGAGGGCGAUUAAUUUUGAUUAAUUCGGUCCUCACCAGUAUGCCUAUGUUUCUUCUAUCCUUUUUCGAAGUCCCGGUGAGUGUUAGGAAGAGGCUAGACUUCUAUCGAUCUCGAUUCUUUUGGCAGAGUGAUGAGCUUAAACGAAAGUAUAGGCUUGCUAAAUGGGAUAUAAUCUGUAGGCCGAAG